UUCUUACUUUUUAUUCUUUCCCGACAUAAAUAAUUAAGUGGCACAAUUAUCCAUGCGAAAUUUCUGUCUGUCAGUUUCAAGAGUCUGAUUUAGCAUUUCGCGGAUUAUUACUUUUUAAAGGUUACGUUUGGAUUUUAUUCUAAAAACGUACAUAAAGAGGGACAUUUAAAUGUAUCUCACAUGUGUGAUAACGUUAGUUUGUUCGAUAAGCAUCAAUUAAAGAGAUAGAAAAGUUGUGUUUCAUAAUGAUUUGGACGGAAACAAUUGUUUUUACUAUAUCAACUAAACUUCGUAAUUUAUUUAAUUGUAAAAUACAUGUUUUAAAUUGCUGGGAAAAAAAAAACAGGCAAUAUAUACGGAACCUAAAGCACGUGGUACUGGAAGGACCCUCUUAUAUAAACAGUGGGCACGCGCUUCUACACUCUGUUUGACGUCGGACUUCGUUGUGGUGAGUGAGCAGUCUCUGAGUAAUGACUGUCCACAUGAACAAACACCACACCCAGGAGGGCAAGGUUAAAGAUGGGUGAUUUAGACACAGGCUCUCUGCAGAGAUGCAGCUACUUCAGGCUCCUUGGAGCAGUGAAUGCUUAGUCAUGUAGUACAGUGUAAGCUGUAUGCCCAAGAAGACUGGCCUUGAGUUGAUGGGUGUUUACACUGGAAUGAGACUCAGAUUGUUCCAGCAGCUCCAUAACAUGAAAACUAGAGCCAGACUCCUCAGUCCCCAGCUGUAAAAGCUGUUUUGCUGCAUCUGAGCUGGAUGACAUCAGAACACAUGUUGGCCAGGUGAUGCAGUUUGAGUUGGGCCUGUUGGAAGCUUUAUUGGAGAUUCUACUAUCAAGUUAUUCAUUUGACUUUCGUCUCGGAUCAGACACUGCUUUUACUGCAUAACAUGCUGUUGUUUUUUUUAGUUUUUUUCAUUGAAAAUAAAUGGUUCUAACUUAAAAGAU